UAACAGGAUUAGAUACCCUGGUAGUCCAUGCCGUAAACGUUGGGCACUAGGUGUGGGGCUCAUUCCACGAGUUCCGUGCCGCAGCAAACGCAUUAAGUGCCCCGCCUGGGGAGUACGGCCGCAAGGCUAAAACUCAAAGGAAUUGACGGGGGCCCGCACAAGCGGCGGAGCAUGCGGAUUAAUUCGAUGCAACGCGAAGAACCUUACCAAGGCUUGACAUACACCGGAAACUUCCAGAGAUGGUUGCCCCGCAAGGUCGGUGUACAGGUGGUGCAUGGUUGUCGUCAGCUCGUGUCGUGAGAUGUUGGGUUAAGUCCCGCAACGAGCGCAACCCUCGUCUUAUGUUGCCAGCACGUCAUGGUGGGGACUCAUAAGAGACUGCCGGGGUCAACUCGGAGGAAGGUGGGGAUGACGUA
rnacentral:rRNA from 1 species